AGGCGCCGAGAGCGAGCGAGGGCUGUGAGGACUGCCAGCAUGCUGUCACCUCUCAGUAUAAUUUAAGAUCAACCCUAAUUGAAAAUACUAUAUUUUGAAGGGUCACGUUUCUCUUUAGAUUACACACAGUGUCUUGUGAUACUGCCUCUGGUCAGCUGAUUUCUCCUUGCCUCAUUCCAACUUCUUUUGUCAGAAAAUUCUUCAAGAUUGCCACAUUCUUUCACAAUAAUAUGAAAAUGGAAGAGGAAUGAAUACUUUCCAACUCAUUUUUAAAGGACUACCUUUCCGUAACACCAAAACCAGAUGAAGAUAUCACAAGAAAAAAAAGCUACUGACCAAUAUCCCUCAUGAACAUAGAAGCAAAUAUUUUUAAGUAAAUUUUAGUAAUACGGUUCAACAACAUGUUAAAAAAUACAUCAUAAUUGAGUUUUAUCCAGGAAAUGAAAAUUCAGUCUGAAAAUCAAUGCAUGUAGCUCCCCAUAUUAACAAAGAAUAUUUGUGAAUUGUGCAAGAAGAAUACACUAUGUGGAUUAUUUCUAAAAUCAAAUGUUUGAAAUUAAGGGUGAGUUCUGAGCAUAGAAAGCAGCCUGAAGCCCCAGGAUUCAGGUCCCCAGAUUACGAAGGACUGGACAGGAUUCACUCCUGUUCACAAGAAAAGCAGAACCAAGAAGAGAGUUAAUAAAAGGAAUGGUUCACACGAUUAUGAUGGAUUAAAAAGUCCCCAAAUCUGUAGUCUGCAAGCUAGAGACCCAGGAGAGGUGAUGGUGUAGUUCCAGUCUAAAAGAUAGCAGGCUCAAGACUCAAAAAGAGGUAAUUUUUCAGUUGAAGUCUGACACGGCUAGCCUUUGUGUCCCGACCCAAGUCUCAUCUUGAACUGUGAUCCCUGUAAUCCCCACUUGUCAAGG
rnacentral:lncRNA from 1 species